UUGGGAGAGGAAGGGGGUUGGGGCGACCCGAAAAUGGAAAUUCGUUUAAAGCACAAGAUGAAGUAAACACCACUAACUCCAAACGACGGGGCUUAUAGGCUGUAUUUAAAAAAAAAAAAAAAAGAAAAGGAAGAAAAGCAGCGAGACGAACCGGAGGAGGAGUGGGAAGAGAGGAAGAUAUAAAGAAAGGGAGGGGGGUGUGCACUGUGACACUGUGCAGUUGACUACAUAGAGAGAGAGAGAGAGAGAGAGAGAGAGAGAGAGAGAGAGAGAGAGAAAGAGAGAGAGAGAGAGAGAGAGUAGCCCGCCGGCCCAUUGAGGAAAGAUGGCUACAGUCACUGCAAACGGAGUGCAGCAGGAGAAUGGAUUCAGCACCACGAACAGCGCCGGCAGGAUGAACGGGCUUACCAUCGGCCAGAACACCAUUCCAAUGAAGGACCACGACGCCAUCAAGCUUUUCAUCGGGCAGAUUCCCAGAAACCUGGAGGAAAAAGACCUGAAACCCCUGUUUGAGGAAUUCGGAAAGAUAUAUGAACUCACUGUACUGAAAGACAGGUUUACGGGAAUGCAUAAAGGAUGUGCCUUUCUAACAUACUGUGCCAGAGAGUCAGCACUGAAGGCCCAAAGCGCCCUCCAUGAACAGAAGACGCUGCCAGGGAUGAACCGACCCAUUCAGGUGAAGCCAGCCGACAGCGAAGGACGGGGAGAAGACAGGAAGCUGUUUGUAGGAAUGCUCGGCAAACAACAGAGCGAGGAUGAUGUCCGGCGGCUGUUCGAGACUUUCGGCCAGAUUGAGGAGUGCACCGUCCUUCGAGGGCCUGAUGGGGCCAGUAAGGGCUGUGCCUUUGUCAAGUACUCGAGCCACGCAGAAGCGCAAGCCGCCAUCAAUAGUUUGCAUGGUGGACAAACUAUGCCUGGUGCCUCGUCCAGCCUGGUGGUCAAAUUUGCAGACACUGAUAAGGAGAGGACCCUGCGUAGAAUGCACCAGAUGGCAGGCCAACUCGGCAUCUUCAGUCCCAUGACCAUCCAAUUUGGGGCCUAUGGCGCCUACUCUCAUGCUGUAAGUCUCAGCCCAGCGGGAGAGGAGACGCAGAUGAUGCAACAGCAAGCAGCCCUGAUGGCAGCAACACAAGGGUCCUACCUGAACCCCAUGGCAGCCAUUGCUGCCGCGCAAAUGCAGCAAAUGGCAGCUUUCAAUGUCAAUGGCCUGGUGGCUACUCCUAUGACACCGUCCUCAGGCACCAGCACACCCCCAGGCAUUUCUGCUACAGCCGUGCCAAGCAUAGCCACACCUAUUGGGGUCAACGGAUUCAGUGCCCUCCCGCCUCAAAGCAAUGGCCAGCCUACAUCGGAGCCCAUCUACACCAAUGGCAUUCAUCCUUACCCAGCACAGAGUCCAACGGUGACCGACCCUCUCCAACAGGCUUAUGCUGGCGUCCAGCACUACGCAGCAGCCUACCCUGCCGCCUAUGCGCCAAUCAGCCAAGCGUUCCCCCAGCAACCGACCAUCAUUCCCCAGCAACAGAGGGAAGGGCCGGAAGGUUGCAACCUGUUUAUUUAUCACCUGCCCCAGGAGUUUGGAGAUGCUGAGCUCAUGCAAAUGUUCCUUCCUUUCGGCAACGUCAUCUCUGCCAAAGUCUUUGUGGACCGAGCCACCAAUCAGAGUAAAUGCUUUGGCUUUGUGAGUUUCGAUAACCCAUCCAGUGCUCAGGCCGCUAUCCAGGCUAUGAAUGGCUUCCAGAUAGGCAUGAAGAGGCUGAAGGUGCAGCUAAAGCGGCCAAAGGACGCCAACCGACCUUACUGACUCAUCUGCUGUCCAUAAACAGUGUGAGGUGGCCUUUCUCCGCUAUAGCCACACACCCCACCGACACCUGUCAUGGGGCCAAGUUCCCACAGCUGAUGAAGGGCCACAACACCUUAUUUCCACAAGUGCAGUAAAAGUACAAAGACUCCUCGUUCUGCUACAUAUCAUGAAGAAAGGGUGGUCCCUUGAUCCUCCUGGAAAGCCGCUGAAAGAUUGGGUGACUGAAAGAAGGAUCCCAGAGUUGUUGUUUUUUAUUAUCAUUUUAGUUUUUUCUUUCUUCGCAAAUGCCUCUCUUUUCCCUUCUUUGCUUUGGCAUCUGUGGAAGAAGAUUUUUUGCAGAGACCAACUUUUUGCUGCUGUUUUUUAGACAUGAUGAAAAGAAAAAAACUUUAUAGACUCAUUAUGCUCAAAGCAUGCAUACUGACACAGGAUACAGAUAAACUCACUUAAAAAAUAUUUUAAAAAAUAAACCAAACAUACAAGAAAUUAAACAAGCUGCACUUAAUGAAUGAAAAACUUAAAAAAAAAAAGACUCUGUACAUGUAUAAAUACGUGCAAAUGCCAACACAAGAACUGAAGCAAAUCCAUUCGCGCACACACACACUAAUAUACACAAACACACACACACCAGCCUGCUGCCAUUUUGGUUUUUGUGCCUACACAGGUGUUGUGCUCUGUGACAGGGCAAGCUCUGCAUCGAAGUGGAAAAACAAGAAGAAGAAAAGGAGAGGAGUGGGGAAAUCCAGGAUAAUUUACAUGCAUCAUUCCUUAGGAAAUAGGGACCAAAGGACUAAAUGCUUUUUAAAAGAUUAUAAAUAUAUAAAUAUAUAAAUAUAUAUUUAAAAACUCAUACCUUGUAGCUGCAAGUAUUUACUCAUAGUGGAAAAAAAAUAUCAUUAAAUCAAUAUCCAGUGGCUUACUGUAAGAAUGAAUAAAAGAAAAUGGAAAUAAUGUAUAAAAAAAAGACAUGGAGUCGUAGUAUAGAGGCUGAUCUUUCGCUCUGGAUGCUGAUUUUAGCAGCAGGUUGUAGAAUAGUGAUGUAUACUAGAAAAAAGUACAUUUGCAAAUUUUUGCUGUUGUUAAAAUAAUCAUUUAAUUUCCCAUUAAAAGUUGGUGAAAGACGGAGUAACAAAAACAUUUAUCCAUGCCUUUGGACGGCACAUGUUCUUUUUUUUUUUCUUAGAUGUAAAGGUAACAGCCACUGGAUAUCCCACUCAUCAUGAUGUAUAAGGCACUGCACUCUCUGACAGCUAAAGAGACUGAUCUAGCAGACUAAAAAGGAAAACAAGAGACAAAGAAGACUGAACUCCGUGAUGUCUGUGCUGGACAGCGUGCAGAUAUUUAAGGCUUCUCACUGGCCUUUGUGUUCAAGCGACAAUCCACUGUAAAGACCAAGUCAAAUGGACAUGGGGUGUCUUUUUUUCCCCUCUCUUUCUGUUCAAUCCCCUUGACCUUUUGUAUUGCAUCAUGAAGUGUAUAUUUUGAAGCCACACAUGAUUGAAAUAAGAUGGAUAAAAGGCAGAUAGAUGACCAUGAAGAGAACAGCAAAAAAGCACGAGAGGAGGAGGAGUAGGGCAACAGCUACUGAAACUGCCAGGAGAAUGAACUGUGUUUAGCAAUGAACUAACCUUGUGGUUCUCUCCUCAAGUUAACGCCGAAAAAAAAAAAGCAGGGACG